AGAAGAUUCAGAAGAAAAAGGGAGGGGAGGAGGAAAAGUGGGCUAAGCUGACACAGGGUCUCGGCAUGAGUGACCCCAUGCCACGAGGCAAUAAUGCAAGGGUGUGCUGCAUCACUGCCUUCCCAUGUACGUGAAGCAGACACCACAGCACCAAAAGGGAAGCCCUCUAAGCCACUACACCCGGGGGGGUAUCGACCUGCACAACGCAUCUGAUGGGGAGAGCGAGGUGGAGUGGCCAACUUGCCACCCCAAAUCAUGGCGAUCAGGCAACAACAUGUGGUUUGCUUGCCUGAGAACCUUAGAAGGCAAGCUGAUCCUUGUUUGGCCCAUGGAAGAGAUAUGAUACAGCGGGUGAGGAAGUCAUGCUGCGCUCGAGAACUCAAGUUACUUUGAAGCAUCAAGUUAUGGAACUGCAAGCAACAUUUCAUCGAAUAGAAAGCGGCAACAUCUUAGUGUCAACACGAUAAAGUUGAUCGACCUAACCCGUUUUCAAAUGCUAUUAUGUCCGAAAACCAAAUGCCUCUUGAGAUGGUUGAGUUGAUUAUUCCUCCUCGUCCUAUCUUAAUGACGAUAGAUCAGCAUGAGCUAAAGGAUCAUGUCAAAUUAUAUCAUGUUUGAGAA